AGUGAACGCUGGCGGUAGGCCUAACACAUGCAAGUCGAACGGCAGCACAGUAAGAGCUUGCUCUUACGGGUGGCGAGUGGCGGACGGGUGAGGAAUACAUCGGAAUCUACUUUUUCGUGGGGGAUAACGUAGGGAAACUUACGCUAAUACCGCAUACGACCUACGGGUGAAAGCAGGGGAUCUUCGGACCUUGCGCGAUUGAAUGAGCCGAUGUCGGAUUAGCUAGUUGGCGGGGUAAAGGCCCACCAAGGCGACGAUCCGUAGCUGGUCUGAGAGGAUGAUCAGCAACACUGGAACUGAGACACGGUCCAGACUCCUACGGGAGGCAGCAGUGGGGAAUAUUGGACAAUGGGCGCAAGCCUGAUCCAGCCAUACCGCGUGGGUGAAGAAGGCCUUCGGGUUGUAAAGCCCUUUUGUUGGGAAAGAAAAGCAGCAGGUUAAUACCCUGCUGUUCUGACGGUACCCAAAGAAUAAGCACCGGCUAACUUCGUG
rnacentral:rRNA from 1 species